rnacentral:rRNA from 1 species
CCUACGGGAGGCAGCAGUCGAGAAUCAUUCACAAUGGGGGAAACCCUGAUGGUGCGACGCCGCGUGGGGGAAUGAAGGUCUUCGGAUUGUAAACCCCUGUCAUGUGGGAGCAAAUUAAAAAGAUAGUACCACAAGAGGAAGAGACGGCUAACUCUGUGCCAGCAGCCGCGGUAAUACAGAGGUCUCAAGCGUUGUUCGGAAUCACUGGGCGUAAAGCGUGCGUAGGCUGUUUCGUAGGUCGUGUGUGAAAGGCGCGGGCUCAACCCGCGGAAGGCACAUGAUACUGCGAGACUAGAGUAAUGGAGGGGGAACCGGAAUUCUCGGUGGAGCAGUGAAAUGCGGAGAUAUCGAGAGGAACACUCGUGGCGAAGGCGGGUUCCUGGACAUUAACUGACGCUGAGGCACGAAGGCCAGGGGAGCGAAAGGGAUUAGAUACCCUUGUAGUC